AAAGUCGUAACAAGGUUUCCGUAGGUGAACCUGCGGAAGGAUCAUUAACAAGUCCGCUGCGUGUGCAAGAGCAAUCUUCGCAUGCGCACAUCCGUUCCAUGUGCAGCCCGCUGUGCAUGACAUUUCUGCGAAUCGUCUGAUUGUCGCCCAACUAAUACAAAACUUUUAACAAUGGAUCUCUAGGCUCUU
rnacentral:misc_RNA from 1 species